AUGACAAACGUUUGUGUUGUGCUUUSAGAUCUUUAAGAGAAAAGUAUUUGUAAAUACAUUUUUAAAUCAGUUGUCACUGUAUUUGCUUGUACUAAUUCAUGCAGUACAGCAAUUAUGUAGUUAGGAUUCAUCAGUUCCAAAAUUGGUGGCAUCCCUAGGAAAAUCUCCCUGUUACUUGAAUUGCCAGAUAGAGGAAAGUUUCAGAGGGCUUUAGAACAUUCCUGUACUGGCCCCUAUAGAUUGACAAAGCAACGUCAUUUUUCAUUUCUGACUUGUGUGUGAAUUUUUAUUUUUGUCCGUGUCUUCCUUUAUUAUUUAAUUUAAUAGAUUUACAGGCUAUUCCUGGGAAACAGAGUGGUUCCAGAAUUAUUAAUUAAGUUCUACAGCCAAGAAACAGCAAACCAAAUGAUAGAUUGGGAGCCCUACCGCUGUGGCUAUCUGCUGCCUGAGGAGAGAGUUUGUCCUAAAAUAGCUAGGCGUCUGUCCCUUGUCACCCCAUUCAUUUUUAUUAAAGAAUCUGCUCUGCAGCAAUGUCUGCCAGAGCCUCCAGGAUGCAGCUUAUUGCUGCAGAUGAUGACGGAAAGGGACAAGCUUUCAACUAAUAUACGCAGGAACAGCUGGAAUGGAAAAAUGGUAGAGAAAAUGCAAGCAAGGAAUUGCCACUCUGAAUGUCAUGAACCAUCUGGCCAAGCGGUGUACCUCAGAGUGCCGCUGGGGAAGCAGCCUUAGAAGAACGCCUUUCAGCCUUUACCUGGAAAUUUUAGGCAACRUAUACAGGCAAAAUCUGGAGGAUGUGGGCAUAUCACCACUUCUGGUGUAACUUAAGGCCACCCAACCCAGAACUCAGCUGAGCGGAUAAGAAUUAGUUUUGUGCUGGUUUGAAGUAAUCUCCUGUAGCUGUGGCAGAAAAACUUGAAAAUAUGUACAACAAAGGCACAAAAAGUUGGGCUUAGUUAAUAUUAAAAAUACACGAUUAACUCAUUGGCAAAAGUCAGCAUCAUAGUUUUUAWGGUCCAGCUCAAGGGUUUUGAACAUUUGGAUGGCAAUACUGUGUCCUUCACAGAAUUGCCUUCAGGUAAUUCCUCUGUUGUCAUUCCUGUAUUACAGAUGGGGAAAUUGAGGCCAAACAUGUUCUGCUCAAGGUGUCACAGUAAGCCGGUGGCAUUGUAACAGUGACAUCCAGGAUGCAGACACCUGCUCCUUGUGCUUCAGCAGCAAAGUUUUCAGUAAAAUCAGCAGAAAUGCAGGAUGAUUGCAUGCUCCGAAAAGACUGCAAAAGCUUCCGAACAGGAAUUAUGAGCUACUGCAUCAAAGGCCCCAUGCUUGACAUUUAUUGGCUUUUUGAUGAAUGUUGGGGUAAUUUUACUGUCAACAGUUUCUCAUUAGGAGCCCAGCAAUGUUCUUUCUGMCCAUUAUCUUGCUCAAUAUCACAUCAGGUUGCCACAAAGAGCAGAGAUUUUAUGUAAAACCCAUCUAUCUCUGUAGCUGCAAAAUGUUCUAAUAAUUCUGCAUUUAAAUAAUUUCAUGGAAAUGUUGGCUGCCUCCUCUAAGCGAUAAGGCACAUAGACAAAUGGCUAAAUUUCCAUGAAGACCUAAAGCUAUUGGACAAACCUCAUACUGCAAUGAGCAGGAUUCAUUUGUCUUGAUUUCACUGGCAUUGCACCUAGAUUAUACUAAUUCUGAAUUUAGCCACUGGGUAAUGGGUUCCCAUACUGUUUUACACAUUUUUUAAAGAAGACUCAGGGGAAAAAACAUUAGAGCUAUACCUUUCACAUUCCCUGUUAUGUGAUGUACAGUUUCCUGGCUCCUUGUUGUCAAUAUUAAGAAUAUGUACCUUGUCAAACCUAUAGUUUUUAUAAAAAGAAAACAGUAAAAAUGUACCCCUAAGGCCAUUGGUUAUUUGACAAAGGUGAAAAUAAUUCAUUAAUCUUUGAUGUUGCCAGCUGUAUUAAUUUUCAUUAUAUGACUUUUAAAAUGUUAAUAUUUACUUUAAACAUUUGGGUCCUGGAGCCAUGUGAUAAUGGAAAUAUCUGAGGGUUGUUGUAUUUUUGAUUUUUUUGUUGUUGUUGUUAUACCUAAAAAUGGAAAAUAAAAGGCCUAGAAUCUAAAAACCA
ensembl:lncRNA